UACGUAGGCAGCGAGCGUUGUUCGGAGUUACUGGGCGUAAAGGGUGCGUAGGCGGUUGUUUAAGUUUGGUGUGAAAUCUCCCGGCUCAACUGGGAGGGUGCGCCGAAUACUGAAUGACUAGAGUGCGGGAGAGGAUAGUGGAAUUCCUGGUGCAGCGGUGAAAUGCGUAGAUAUCAGGAGGAACACCGGUGGUGUAGACGGCUAUCUGGACCGUAACUGACGCUGAGGCACGAAAGCGUGGGUAGCAAACAGG
rnacentral:rRNA from 1 species